rnacentral:ncRNA from 1 species
AAAACUUACUAGGUCCAUACAUAGUAAGGAUUGAUAGAUUGAGAGCACUUUCUUGAUUCUAUUGGUGGUGGUGCAUGGUCGUUCUUAGUUGGUGGAGCGAUUUGUCUAGUUAAUUUCGAUAACGAAUGAGAGCAGCUGGACGAGAUGAUUGGAAAAUUAGAAGGCUGAUGUUGAGGUCAUCACAACAAGCAGUCGGCAAGGAUAAGUUGAUCAGAAAGAAACCCGCCAUAGAAGCAGGGAAUAAGAAAAGGAAGAAGCAACAAAAAAAAUGAGGAAGUGGAGCAUAUGGACAACUCCAGAGGAUAG